CUGCUCUCAGGAUCGUCCCUGGAGAGUUUCCAGUACUCUCCCAGUCUCGGCUAUGGGAGGGAGAGUCCAACAGAGGCCUACCUAUUCCAUUCCUAGCUUGGUCAGUGGCCAGCCAGUGGAAGACAAUCUGCUACAGGU